GGUGUUGGUCUCUGUCUGAGGGGUUGGAGCAAAUGCGGUUAUACCUCAGCGCUUGGCUGUAGAUGAUGGAUCGUGUGGUGUGUCCGGGAUGGAAGCUGGAGGCAUGAAGGUAGGCAUAAUGGUCGGUGGAUUUUCGGUAUAGGAUGGUAUUGUGAGUUACAGAUAUGCAUGAUAUAUUUGUUUCAAAACUUAUGCUGUGUUUCUGGGUGACACCCCCAGAUAGAUUGGCAUCAGCACUGCCCUAGCCUAUUCAAUGGCCCAUCAAGGGUCAUCAGCUAUACAAUGAACCCAUUGAAAAAGGCAGGGACUACACCUUAUAAGUCAGCAAACCAUGUAGGGGCUUGAACUUUAUGGACAGAACUCAAAGGCUUCUCCAUGCCAUGUGCUGGGCAGCUUGUGUUUGAAACAAAGGACGCACAAGCCACAUGGCAGACUAUAAAAGGCAGCUGCAUCUUCUCCAUUUUGUCUUCAUUCCUGCUUCUUACCUCUGGAGGAACUUUUCUACAAACGAAGCUCUGAACGAAGGACUGAAUGAGCCAUCCCAGCUGUGGACGUGUUCCAGAGGGACUUUCAAGCCAGCAAACUCAGCAAUACAGCUAAGAACAUGAUAUAUGGACUUUGAAGUCUCGACGGUGAGCCCUUGGGACAGCACCUGGCACAGGGGGGCCUCCAGGUCCUACUGCAGUAUAGCCAGGAGUCUGUGCACACAACCCCCGCCCAGUGCACAAGGCACCGUUGCUCUCCCAGAAAACUACAAAGCAGGGGAUGGACUGGGAAGGCAUCACACAUGACACCUCUGACUGCUCCAGCCAGCGGCACAUGUCACUGCCAGGACUCUGCCCCAGCCAGGCCUGCCAUUCAAGCUCCCUAUUUGCUGCCUGGAACAUCACACCCCUUCCUGAUGGGCUGGAUGCUGCAGGACCAGCCUGGCCAGGGGCCUACUCGUCCCAGCUGAGCUGCCCAGCUGAUUCAGGAGCAUUCUCUGGCUGCACGGUCAGAGAGCUCCGGUCUGUGUCGAAUCUGCAGCAGCUGCUUCCUGGAAGAUCCUGGCUGCCAUGAGCCAUGGUCUCCCCAGCUGAGCACGUCAAGCUCGGUGUCUGUUGGCAAGUGUGCCCGGAACCAACAGCCAGGACAUCAAAUCCAAGCCACUAUUAACAAAAUCAGACUGACUGCAAGGCACACACUGUGCUGGAGAGGCCACAGCCAGGAGACUCUAGACGGGAACUCAGGGAAACGGGGGAGAGCUAAACAGAAUUUAGAAAUGAAUUUGCCAUUUUCCCCAAAA